CUGGAGCUGCAGCAACGGUCUUGCAACCAUGAAAUUAAAACCAAGAGAAUUCUAGACACUUUGGUGCUGAUGUUGUCUGAGUGACUGGAACCAGUGCUCGACACUGUCUACAUUCAGACUUUCCAGGCCUACAAGACUCUCAUUGGAGUUCACUCUUACCUUCGGCCUUAGCAUGGACAUAGAAGAAGCCAACACAAGUCUAGUUUAUUUAAAGAUGGUCUUGUAGAAACAAAAGCGAAAAUGACCUUUUGGGACUUCAUCAAAAUCAAAAGCUUCUGCACAGCAAAGGAAACAGUCAACAAAACAAAAAGGCAACCCACAGAAUGGGAGAAGAUAUUUGAAAAUGACAGUACAGACAAAAGGUUGAUAUCCAGGAUCUAUAAAGAACUCCUCAAACUCAACACACACAAAACAGACAAUCAUAUUAAAAAAAAUGGGCAGAAGAUAUGAACAGACACUUCUCCAGUGAAGACAUACAAAUGGCUAUCAGACACAUGAAAAAAUGUUCAUCAUCACUGGUCCUCAGGGAGAUUCAAAUUAAAAUCACAUUGAGAUAUCACCUUACACCAGUUAGAAUGGACAAAAUUAGCAAGACAGGAAACAACAUGUGUUGGAGAGGAUGUGGAGAAAGGGGAACCCUUUUCCACUGUUGGUGGGAAUGCAAGUUGCUGCAGCCACUUUGGAGAACAGUGUGGAGAUUCCUCAAGAAAUUAAAAAUAGAACUUCCCUAUGACCCUGCCAUUGAACUACUAGCUAUUUACCCCAAAGAUACAGAUGUAGUGAAAAGAAGGGCCAUCUGUACCCCAAUGUUUAUAGCAGCAAUGGCCACGGUCGCCAAACUGUGGAAAGAACCAAGAUGCCCUCCAACGAAUGAAUGGAUAAGGAAGAUGUGGUCCAUAUACACUAUGGAAUAUUAUGCCUCCAUCAAAAAGGAUGAAUACCCAACUUUUGUAGCAACAUGGACGGGACUGGAAGAGAUUAUGCUGAGUGAAAUAAGUCAAGCAGAGAAAGUCAAUUAUCACACGGUUUCACUUAUUUGUGGAGCAUAACAAAUAGCAUGGAGGACAAGGGGAGAUGGAGAGGAGAAGGGAGUUGAGGGAAAUUGGAAGGGGAGGUGAACUAUGAGAGACUAUGGACUCUGAAAAACAACCUGAGAGUUUUGA